GAGUGGAGGCGAGUUGUGCUUCCUGCUGGGAGAGAGAAGGGCCUUGGGAAGCUGCUCCAUGAGCCACAGCUGUGCCGAGCCCGGGAGUCUGUCCAGCAGGAUGUCGAGUGCCACCAUGUCCCCGAGGUCACCCUUUCUGCUGUUGGGAGAGCACGAGGUGGAUGGAGAGGAUCCCCAGGCAUCUGCAGGCACAAGGGACUCGUACAACUGCGAUUUUCCUCCAGCCCUCGUGAGAGGGACUUUUAGGAUCCUCUUGGGAAUGUGCCAGUUCUCCUGCUGGAGCUUUUCUAUGGAAUAUUUGAACACAAAGAGUAAAACUAAAGUCAGGUUUGUUCUGGA